CGGCGAAAGAAAUCAAGAGAAUCUGAGCAAGCUAUCAACUUUGAGGGUCCAUGAAUACAAAUUCUCAUAUCUACAGAUCUAAUUGGUGCGGCGCUAUUGGAGAAACUGAUGCAAGGGGCGCAAACAACCAAAAUGAAGUCACCUCUCAUCUAUCACUAGAGUUAUGCAUGACAGAACAUCCUUCCAAUUUUUCCUCUCUGCUGAAACUGAGAAAAGAUAGGUUCCUUGAUGGGCAUUGGGCAUCCUCAGCCAAUAUGAAUCUCCCUCUGCUAGGUCCUACUGGUGUUCUCCUCAUGAAUCCCCAAAUGUAGCAUUGGGAUCCAACAUUUCUCCUUCAAGUUCCAUGAUGAAACUCAUCAAAACCCUUCUAUCAAUCAUAAUUUGUCACUAAAAAUAGGCUUAUCUUGUUUGGUCCUCUAGUUGUAACUGAGAACACUUUUGGAAUUUUCCUAACCAUUCUCAUGAGAACAGGUCUUUUGCAACCGGGAACAUUCCUGGUAUCAGUAAUGAAUCCUCAAGAAAAAUACUUUCAUGUUAUAGAGGAAUUGAAGGAUAUAUGGUGGUUAGGAACAGGAAGUUGAUGGUUUUGUUGCAUGACAUCGAUGCGGGUUAACACCUUGAAUAGGUUGAAGUUGAGCAUUUGCAGAUUUAGUUCUCCUGACAUUGUUGGAAAUGGUGUUCAUGGGUUGACAUUGUUGUUGGCACUGACAUGUGACCUAGUUACACGUCUUUGGCCAACGCAGCUUGUUCACUCAUGGUUCAACUUUCUACUGUCAGAAGUUUUCUAUAAGCAUGGUAUUUGGGACUUCUCUUAGUUGGUAAGAGAACAAUGUUUUAUUCGAUUCCUACAUGCAGAUGAUGUUUCAAGUUGGGUAAGCCUUUUGUUAGUUGCGGGUUGCGAUAAAUAAAUGAUCGAGCCAAAGAAUAAUCGACGAUCUCUCAUUGUUGCCAAUUUCACUUCAGCAAGCCUGAGUCUUGAAGGAAAAACACUAUUACGAAUUAGCCAAAACAAUAUAGCACAAAAAGUAGCAAUGUAAUCCAACAAUGAGUCAUUGAAAUGGUUUUUAAUUAUUCUAUAUAUUGAUAUAUUGA